UAAUGUGGACGUGCUGUUGAGUUGAGUCUCUUUACCUCUAGGGCAACAUGGCAGGAGCAAUGAGUGUCACUAAAUGUAUAUCAUUUGUUUUGGUAGCCGUCGCUCUAGGGUCCACUGCAACGAAGGCAACCACCAAGAAUACCCCAACAUUGUCUGUCACCACCACAGUGGUCCCUGCCUCGCCAGCCAGUAGAACAAGUACCUCAGUCAGUGAAGCACCUAAUACAGAUCCUACUAGUAGCACUAGAGUCCCAUUGGAAUCAUCCCCUUCAUCACCUACAACUGAGCCUUCCCAAUCCUCUCAGCCACUGACUCCAUCAGAAGCAUACAAUGGCAGCACCACCAUACAGACCUCUAGAGGUUUUACAGCUGACAGUACUAUGAAUCAGACCCUAACUGGAACAACUGGUCAUGACUCAACAUCCUCAAUCUUCUCAUCAACUUUGUCGCCAAACUCUGAUUUUACAACAGGGAACAUGAGCUCAAGCACAGCUUUACAAAGUGAUGGGAGACAUGUUUUAUCAAGGAGUCCGGGCCUCGUAGCAGUCCUCUGCAUAUUCUGCAUCUGUCUGGGUCUUAUGCUGGCUGUUGGAAUUGCAAAGCUCAUUACUUCCAGAGGUUCAACAUUUCAGAGGCUUGAAGACGUGCCAUUGGGCAAGAUAAAUGAAGAGUCUCCAUUUGCCCGUUACCCUACAAAACAAUUCUGAAAGAUAACACAUUAUGAGAGAAAGUCUUCUAUUUGUGGUUCAGAAAAUGUUGUUUAUGAUGAUGUGUCACACACCAUCGUGUUUUUUCCUGUUUUUGUUUGUUUGUUUAUUUUUGUCUGGCUGCUGGAAAGUGACGUGUGUUUGAAAGAAGUCAGUAUAGGCCCUAAAAGCAACCCUGUGAUGUGGUACAGAAUAUCUACUAUGAGGUUGGUCAGCAGCAUAUAUAUACACUGCUCAAAAAAAUAAAGGGAACACUUAAACAACACA